ensembl:snoRNA SNORA75 Small nucleolar RNA SNORA75
AGAUUCAUAUGAGAAGAAAAAACAAUUCACAAAACUAGCAUUGUUUUACUUCUGUCCUUACAGUGAUAUAUUUGACUGUUUGGUGAGACAUUC